rnacentral:rRNA from 1 species
UACGUAGGGGGCUAGCGUUGUCCGGAAUCAUUGGGCGUAAAGAGCGUGUAGGCGGCUCGGUAAGUCCGCUGUGAAAGUCCAGGGCUCAACCCUGGAAUGCCAGUGGAAACUGUCGAGCUAGAGUCCGGAAGAGGCGAGUGGAAUUCCUGGUGUAGCGGUGAAAUGCGCAGAUAUCAGGAGGAACACCAAUGGCGAAGGCGGCUACCUGGACCGGUUCUGACGCUGAGGCGCGAAAGCGUGGGUAGCAAACAGG